rnacentral:rRNA from 1 species
GGGCCUGUAGACCUUGCCUCAUGCUGGAGCGUGAACCCCAGUCGCAGCUCGCGGCACGGCCCCGGACCCAAGUUGUGCUUUCAUUACUACUGCAAUGAACACACACCCCUGGCUGCUGAAACAUAAUGGUAUGAAAGGGGUCAAGCUCAUGAGGGUCUGGUAAGACGUCCGCCUCGGCUGGGAAGCUCCGCAUUCCAUCCACCCUCACGGUGUAUAUAUCCACGUUGCUUCCCCGGGGCAGCAGCAAGCCUGCCCUGGCCAUCCAUGCCCCCUACAGGCAUGUGUAACUGGGAGUUUCCCGGGGAAGGUACCCUUCAAAACCGCAUAUUCUUGCCAACCUAAGUCUGACAGGCCUUUGGCCUACAACAAAACCUUGCAAAAACUUUCAACAACGGAUCUCUUGGUUCUCGCAUCGAUGAAGAACGCAGCGAAUUGCGAUAAGUAAUGUGAAUUGCAGAAUUCAGUGAAUCAUCGAAUCUUUGAACGCACAUUGCGCCCCCUGGCAUUCCGGGGGGCAUGCCUGUUUGAGCGUCUCAUGCAUCAAUACUCACACAUGUUGUGGUGAUGGCCGAUGUGGCGGCUGCCUCCAGCAGCUUCACAAGGCAGAAAAUCAUAGGCGGAAGACACCUGCAGUCAGUGCGUAGUAUGUAUCCAAAGCCGCAUUGAGUGUAGAGUGUGCCUCUUGCCCUGGCCCACAGGGCUCCUUUAUCAAUCACUGCAUUCCUCAGAUCAGGUAGGGAUACCCGCUGAACUUAAGCAUAUCAAUAAGCG